rnacentral:rRNA from 1 species
GAUGAACGCUGGCGGCGUGCUUAAUACAUGCAAGUCGAACGGAAAGGCCCUGCUUUUGUGGGGUGCUCGAGUGGCGAAGGGGUGAGUAACACGUGUGUAACAUGCCCUUGACUUUGGGAUAACUUUUGGAAACUGGGGAUCAUAUAGGGUAGGAGCUACUGAAGCAUGGUGGGGGUUAGAAAGUUUCGGCGGUGGGGGCAGUAAUAGCGGGUUAUCAGCUUGUUGGUGGGGUGGUGGCUUUCCAAGGCUUCGAAGGGAAGCCGGCCUGGGAGGGUGACCGGCUCCAUUGGGCCUGGGGUACGACCAGUACUCCAUCGGGCGGAAGCGGUGGGAAUAUUGCACAAUGGGCGGAAGCCUGAUGCAGCAACGCCGCGUGCGUGAUGACGGCCUUCGGGUUGUAAACCGCUUUCGCCUUUGACGAAGCGUGAGUGACGGUAAUGGGUAAAGAAGCACCGGCUAACUACGUG